UCGCCAUAGUGACUGUAGUCGUGGAGACAGUUACUUACCAACGGGAGCAACACUCAGCAACACAGCAGCAGCAGCACCUGGAGGAGAGAGAGAGGGAAAAGAACAGUAAAGCCAGGGCAGAUCUAAGCAGAAGGCUGAGGAGAAACCAUGCAGCGGUCAGAGGGCGGCUCAGAGUCUGCAUCCUCCGUGGCGCUGAGAACGUCCACUUCAGCCCAGGCGCCAGUGGUUUCAGCCCGUUCCCCGCCUCGCAACAGGUCCAACAGGUUCAGCAUGUGUACCAGUCCCAGGUGCAGUACGUGGAGGGGGCAGAGGCCGUCUACCCCAAUGGCACAAUGUAAGCCCCUAUCAAUAUAUUAAACCAGUGUGUCAAACCUGCUUUCAGUUGUUCACUUUGUGCAGGCAACUUAUUAUUGAAGACUUCCUAUUGAUGCUGAAGUAUAAUGUCAUAAAUAUUAUACUGGUGCUUU